rnacentral:rRNA from 1 species
AUUGAACGCUGGCGGCAGGCCUAACACAUGCAAGUCGAACGAGUGGCGGACGGGUGAGUAAUGUCUGGAAAACUGCCCGAUGGAGGGGUCUAACUGCUGUAAACGUUAGCUACUACCGCAUACCAUCGUAUGUGCCCAGAUGGGAUUAUCUAGUCGGUGGGGUAACGGCUCACCUAGGCGACGAUCCCUAGCUGGCCUGAGAGGAUGACCGGCCACACGGGAACUGAGACACGGUCCAGACUCCUACGGGAGGCAGCAGUGGGGAAUAUUGGACAAUGGGCGAAAGCCUGAUGGAGCCAUGCCGCGUGUAUGAAGAAGGUUUUCGGGUCGUAAAGCACUGUGAGCGAGGAGGCGUUACUCGACGAAGAAGCACUGGCUAACUACGUGCCAGCAGCCGCGGUAAUAC